rnacentral:rRNA from 1 species
AAUGAACGCUGGCGGCAGGCCUAACACAUGCAAGUCGAGCGAGCGGCGGACGGGUGAGUAAUGUAUGGGGACUGCCCGAUAGAGGGGGAUAACUACUGGAAACGGUGGCUAAUACCGCAACCUGUAGGAUAACCCAUAGGGGAUCAGCUAGUAGGUAAGGUAAUGGCUUACCUAGGCGACGAUCCGUAUAUGGUCUGAGAGGAUGAUCAGCCAAACUGGGACUGAGCCGCGGCCCAGACGACUACGGAGGCAGCAGUGGGGAAUAUUGCACAAUGGGCGGAAGCCUGAUGCAGCCGUGCCGCGUGUAUGAAGAAGACCCUAGGGUUGGAAAGUACUUUCAGUCGGGAGGCGUUACCGACAGAAGAAGCACCGGCUAACUCCGUGCCAGCAGCCGCGGUAAUAC